AUCCUGGCUCAGGAUGAACGCUGGCGGCGUGCUUAACACAUGCAAGUCGAACGAAGCGCUUAAGAUUGAUUCUUCGGAUGAAGUUUUUUUGUGACUGAGUGGCGGACGGGUGAGUAACGCGUGGGUAACCUGCCUCAUACAGGGGGGAUAACAGUUAGAAAUGACUGCUAAUACCGCAUAAGCGCACAGGGUCGCAUGACCUGGUGCGAAAAACUCCGGUGGUAUGAGAUGGACCCGCGU
rnacentral:rRNA from 1 species